rnacentral:rRNA from 1 species
GACGAACGCUGGCGGCGUGCUUAACACAUGCAAGUCGAACGGAAAGGCCCUGCUUUGGGGGGGUGCUCGAGUGGCGAACGGGUGAGUAACACGUGAGUAACCUGCCCUUGACUGUGGGAUAACUUCAGGAAACUUGGGCUAAUACCGGAUAGGAGCUCCUGCUGCAGGGUGGGGGUUGGAAAGUUUCGGCGGUUGGGGAUUGACUCGCGGCUUAUCAGCUUGGUGGUGGGGUAGUGGAUUACCAAGGCUUUGACGGGUAGCCGGGCUGAGAUGGUGACCGGCCCCACUGGGCUUGAGCUAAGGCACAGCCUCCUCUGGGACGCAGCAGUGGAGUAUAUUGUACAAUGGGCGGAACCCUGAUGUAGUCCCGCCGCGCGCGGUAUGACGGCAUUCGGGUUGUAAACCGCUUUCGCCUGACCCGAAGUGUGAGUGACGGUACCGGGUAAAGAAGCACCGGCUAACUCCGUG